UCCCUGAUAGUUCAGUUGGUAAAGAAUCUGCCUGCAACGCAGAAGACCCCAGUUCAAUUCCUGGGUCGGGAA
rfam:TPA: Bos taurus chromosome 10, whole genome shotgun sequence.